rnacentral:misc_RNA from 1 species
GGACAAUAGAACCAAGCAACAGUGAAGCUACGUGUCAGUUUUAUUUGAAUAUGGAUACAGCGUCUCAAUGGCAAAUGCAGAAUCGGUAUACAGAAUUUCCCAGGUGAUUGAUGACACUGUUUGUUGGCAGCUAAGGUGAUUAAAUAGUUCAUGAGGAAAUUGGAAGAAUAGGAGAGAAUUGAUGACAGCUCGCAAUGGGUUGGAUCAAUUGAAAUACCUUCUAGUUUUAUAAGUCCAGUGAAAGAACGUAUUGCUAUUAACAAUUGCUAAAAACUCACUAAUUAAAAACUCGUGACACACCUUUGACGUUUCAUCGGAGCAUAGCCU